GAUAAGAACGUAGCGAAAUGCGAUACUUGGUGUGAAUUGCAGAAUCCCGUGAACCAUCGAGUCUUUGAACGCAAGUUGCGCCCGAAGCCAUUAGGCCGAGGGCACGCCUGCCUGGGCGUCACACGUCGUUGCCCCCCCAUCUACUCCUUCGGGAUUGCGGGGGGCGGAUGAUGGCCUCCCGUGCGCCUCGUCGCGCGGUUGGCAUAAAUGCCAAGUCCUCGGCGACGCACGCCACGACAAUCGGUGGUUGCGAAACCUCGGUUGCCCGUCGUGUGCGGUCGUCGCGCAUCGAGGGCUCGAAAAAAUUGUCGGGCUCCGGCUCGGCUUUCAACGCGACCCCAGGUCAGGCGGGGUUACCCGCUGAAUUUAAGCAUAUCAAUAAGCGGAGGA
rnacentral:misc_RNA from 1 species